rnacentral:lncRNA from 1 species
AGUAUCCCGUGGUUUUUUUUUUUUCGUUAUUCCCUCCAUUAAUUUUUUCGUUUAAUUAAUAAAAAAAUUAAAAUCACGGGGUACUAAAAUAAAAAUAUAGUAAAUCACAUGGUACUAAAGUAAAUAUUCGAUAAAUCAUAGGUAAAGUAUCUGAAGUCUUUUCUUUUCUAUAUUAUUUGACAGAAAGUUAACGGAGGAGCUGAUAAAAAGAGAAAAACUAAACUAUAGGAUACUAAAGUGAUACACUUUAAAUCAAAGGAUAUUAAAGUGCUAA